rnacentral:rRNA from 1 species
AUCCGGUAUUCCCCUAGUACGGCGAGUGAACCGGGAAGAGCUCAAAUUUGAAAUCUGGCGUCCUCAGGGCGUCCGAGUUGUAAUCUAUAGAGGCGUUUUCCGUGCCGGACCGUGUCCAAGUUCCUUGGAACAGGAUAUCAAAGAGGGUGACAAUCCCGUACUUGACACGACGACCGGUGCUCUGUGAUACGUCUUCUACGAGUCGAGUUGUUUGGGAAUGCAGCUCAAAAUGGGUGGUGAGUUCCAUCUAAAGCUAAAUAUUGGCGAGAGACCGAUAGCGAACAAGUACCGUGAGGGAAAGAUGAAAAGCACUUUGGAAAGAGAGUUAAACAGUACGUGAAAUUGUUGAAAGGGAAACGAUUGAAGUCAGUCGUGACCGAGAGGCUCAGCCGGUUCUGCCGGUGUAUUCCCCUCGGUCGGGUCAACAUCAGUUUUGUCCGGUGGAUAAGGGCGGUAGGAAGGUGGCACCCUCGGGUGUGUUAUAGCCUGCCGUCGCAUACAUCGGGUGAGACUGAGGAACGCAGCUCGCCUUUAUGGCCGGGGUUCGCCCACGUCCGAGCUUAGGAUGUUGACAUAAUGGCUUUAAACGACCCGUCUUGAAACASGGGACMCAAAA